CGCCCACUGCUCGAUCCCGAUAGCCGCCUCGCAUCACCGAGUCGCCCCUCGCCGCCGUUCGCGCCCGGCGCCCCUGCCGCCGCCCUGUCCGGCGCCCGCCUCUUCUCCAGCUCGCUCGCCUGGCCCUCGAUCCAGGGCUCCAGCCUCCAGGCGCAUCUCUCUGGCGCGCGGCGAGCCCCAGCGCGCGGCUGCGCCUUGGCCCUACCGGCCGGAGUCCGGCUACCUGCGCCCCUGCCGCCGCUUGUUGGGCGGCUGCCUGUGCCUGGCGGCCCUGCCCUCGCCCCCUCCAAAUCCGGUAGCAGUGAACCAGUGAGCUUUGUUGAUAGGAAGCAGUACUUGUCCAAACAGGAAAAAAUAUAGUUCAUCAUUUGAUGUACUUGUUUUUAAAAUUGGUAUUGAUUCUCCCGGUGGCAACGGCAAAUGUUGAGAGAGCAUUUUUUGCCAUGAGUUUUGUCAACAACAAGUUGAGAAAUAAGAUGGGCGAUAGUCUUUUGGAUGAUUGCCUAGUCAGAUACAUUGAGAGGGAUGCUUCCUCCGACGUGAAUGAAGAUGACAUAAUUGAUAUCUUCAUGGCAAUGCAAAAACGUUGGCUAGAAAGAUAGUCUUUUUGAACUUCUCAAGGUAUGUGAUAUGGUCCAUGUACUAUUUACAUGUAGGCUUCUUUAUGCAAAACUAGAUUUAAUUGAGAACUUUAAUGUGUUCGUAAGACCAUAUUGAUCUAUUUCUAUGUGCUAUUGAUAAUUAGUUAGAA